rnacentral:rRNA from 1 species
UCCCCUAGUAACGGCGAGUGAAGCGGGAACAGCUCAAAUUUGAAAUCUGGCCCUUGGGUCCGAGUUGUAAUUUGUAGAGGAUGCUUUUGGUGCGGUGCCUUCCGAGUUCCCUGGAACGGGACGCCUUAGAGGGUGAGAGCCCCGUACGGUUGGACGCCUAGCCUCUGUAAAGCUCCUUCGACGAGUCGAGUAGUUUGGGAAUGCUGCUCUAAAUGGGAGGUAUAUUUCUUCUAAAGCUAAAUACUGGCCAGAGACCGAUAGCGCACAAGUAGAGUGAUCGAAAGAUGAAAAGCACUUUGAAAAGAGGGUUAAAUAGCACGUGAAAUUGUUGAAAGGGAAGCGUUUAUGACCAGACUUUUUCUAGGGGGAUCAUCCGGCGUUCUCGCCGGUGCACUUCCCCUAGUGAAGGCCAGCAUCGGUUUUCGGAGGGGGAUAAAAGCUUCGGGAAUGUGACUCCCUCGGGAGUGUUAUAGCCCGUUGCAUAAUACCCUUCUGGGGGACCGAGGUUCGCGCAUCUGCAAGGAUGCUGGCGUAAUGGUCAUCAACGACCCGUCUUGAAACACGGACCAAGGAGUCGAACAUUUAUGCGAGUGUUUGGGUGUUAAACCCUCACGCGUAAUGAAAGUGAACGGAGGUGAGAGCCCUUACGGGUGCAUCAUCGACCGAUCCUGAUGUCUUCGGAUGGAUUUGAGUAGGAGCAUAACUGUUCGGACCCGAAAGAUGGUGAACUAUGCGUGGAUAGGGUGAAGCCAGGAGAAAUCCUGGUGGAGGCUCGCAGCGGUUCUGACGUGCAAAUCGAUCGUCAA